UCAUUGAACGGAGGAAAAAUCAUCAGUCGCCGGUCGCAACCACUGUGGUCGCCACAAUUUCUUUGUUUAUUUCCUUCUUGAUUAAGGCGAAGUUAGCAAAUCCAUUCAUACGCAGUGUAUGAAGAAAGCCAACGAAAGCGCCGCUUCCGUUCAGCCUCAGGCGUUCAUCGCUUCCAGCCGCUUGUCCCCGUCGCUCACAUCUGGGAGCUGCUUUCCGCCAGAUCGCCGCGCCAGUGACCCAGUCUGCUGUCACCGUCCGUCGUUCACUGCUUUCAACCAGUCUGCUGCAGUUGUUGCUCACACCCGGUCUUUGCAACCAUGAUUUCGACAACUAAGUAAUUUUUUUAAAUACUUAUUUUAGUUACUUAAUUAGGUUUAUUUGUUUAGGGUGAGAUUGUGAGAAUUCGGUGGGUGAUUGGACGAUCGAAUUAGGUAUAUAUUUUCUUCUGCCCGGAUGACGCGGCCGUUGGCGACAAUCGCAGGAAUUUUUAUAAAUUUGAAUGACCUGCAAAUAAGGAUGGCAAUUUGUUUGUAAGGCUUGUUGGAAAACCCGUUGUCGGACUUGAUUAAGUGCCAUUUGCUGUUCAAAUCGAAUAGUUUCAUUUUUAUAAUUUUCUAAUUGUUCUAAA